GGGAGCUUGGCUCAGUUGGAAGAGCGCAGGUCUCAUAUUUCGAAAUAUGAUCCAGCUUAACGCUGGAGUAAUCCUGAGGUCGUGAGUUCGAGCCUCACAGUUCCCA